CCUACGGGAGGCAGCAGUGAGGAAUAUUGGACAAUGGGCGCAAGCCUGAUCCAGCCAUGCCGCGUGCAGGAAGACGGUCCUAUGGAUUGUAAACUGCUUUUGUACAGGAAGAAACACUCCCUCGUGAGGGAGCUUGACGGUACUGUAAGAAUAAGGAUCGGCUAACUCCGUGCCAGCAGCCGCGGUAAUACGGAGGAUCCAAGCGUUAUCCGGAAUCAUUGGGUUUAAAGGGUCCGUAGGCGGUUUAAUAAGUCAGUGGUGAAAUCUGGUCGCUCAACGAUCAAACGGCCAUUGAUACUGUUAGACUUGAAUUAUUAGGAAGUAACUAGAAUAUGUAGUGUAGCGGUGAAAUGCUUAGAUAUUACAUGGAAUACCAAUUGCGAAGGCAGGUUACUACUAAUGGAUUGACGCUGAUGGACGAAAGCGUGGGGAGCGAACAGGAUUAGAUACCCUGGUAGUCCACGCCGUAAACGAUGGAUACUAGCUGUUCGGAGCAAUCUGAGUGGGNGUAGACGAAGUAGAUAAGUAAUACCACCGUACGGGAGGUACGGUUCGUCGAAGAAGUAAGAAACGUUAAAAGGUAAAGUUAGUACGGACGUAGAGACGUAGCCGAACGGACGACGACGAGGGAGGAGGGAG
rnacentral:rRNA from 1 species